rnacentral:rRNA from 1 species
AACGAACGCUGGCGGCAGGCCUAACACAUGCAAGUCGAACGCACCGCAAGGUGAGUGGCGCACGGGUGAGUAACACGUGGGAAUGUACCCUUUGGUUCGGAAUAACGUUUGGAAACGAACGCUAAUACCGGAUGAGCCCUACGGGGGAAAGAUUUAUCGCCAAAGGAGCAGCCCGCGUCUGAUUAGCUAGUUGGUGGGGUAAAGGCCUACCAAGGCGACGAUCAGUAGCUGGUCUGAGAGGAUGAUCAGCCACACUGGGACUGAGACACGGCCCAGACUCCUACGGGAGGCAGCAGUGGGGAAUAUUGGACAAUGGGCGGAAGCCUGAUCCAGCCAUGCCGCGUGAGUGAUGAAGGCCUUCGGGUUGUAAAGCUCUUUCGCACGCGACGAUGAUGACGGUAGCGUGAGAAGAAGCCCCGGCUAACUUCGUGCCAGCAGCCGCCGUAA